rnacentral:rRNA from 1 species
CCUACGGGUGGCAGCAGUGAGGAAUAUUGGUCAAUGGACGGAAGUCUGAUCCAGCGACGCCGCGUGAGUGAAGAAGUAUUUCGGUAUGUAAAGCUCUAUCAGCAGGGAAGAAAGAAAUGACGGUACCUGACUAAGAAGCCCCGGCUAACUACGUGCCAGCAGCCGCGGUAAUACGUAGGGGGCAAGCGUUAUCCGGAUUUACUGGGUGUAAAGGGAGCGUAGACGGCGAUGCAAGUCUGAAGUGAAAGGCGGGGGCCCAACCCCCGGACUGCUUUGGAAACUGUAUGGCUGGAGUGCAGGAGAGGUAAGUGGAAUUCCUAGUGUAGCGGUGAAAUGCGUAGAUAUUAGGAGGAACACCAGUGGCGAAGGCGGCUUACUGGACUGUAACUGACGUUGAGGCUCGAAAGCGUGGGGAGCAAACAGGAUUAGAUACCCCUGUAGUC